rnacentral:lncRNA from 1 species
AGUGUGAAGAUCAUGGUUUUCAACAUGCCUAUCGCCUCAAGAGGCAGCUCAAGUGGUAGCACAUCUUACUAGCUCAACGAAUGUCGUCAAAGUAUGUUAAGAUAUCAGGUUGUUUUUAGCUUAAACCCGUAGAGUUUGUUGAAAGUUUUAGUAGUUGCUAAUUUAAGAGAUGAGUUUUUUUUUUCUUUUUUUUUUUUGUGCUUUUGAAGGAAAUAAAGAUGCAUGAAGUUGCAAGUUAUAAGAAUAGUUAGUAUAAAUAAAGUUGAUUAUCUUUAUUAUAUGUUGUGCAAUUAAUGUUUUUGUUAUGUAGGAUGUUUUUAGUAAUAUUUCACACAAGAAUGAAGCUUUAUUUCAGUUUACAAUUGCAUUCUCUUUUCAUUUUGCGCACUAACAAUUAAAAUUGUCUUUAACAAUGUGCAUUUUUAGAUCUUCUGCAAC